rnacentral:rRNA from 2 species
CACGCCCUAAACGAUGUCAACUAGGUGUUGGGAGGGUAAAACCUUUUAGUACCGGAGCUAACGCGUGAAGUUGACCGCCUGGGGAGUACGGCCGCAAGGUUAAAACUCAAAGGAAUUGACGGGGACCCGCACAAGCGGUGGAUGAUGUGGAUUAAUUCGAUGCAACGCGAAAAACCUUACCUACCCUUGACAUGUCAGGAACUUUCCAGAGAUGGAUUGGUGCUCGAAAGAGAACCUGAACACAGGUGC